rnacentral:rRNA from 1 species
CACGUAGGGGGCGAGCGUUGUCCGGAUUUAUUGGGCGUAAAGAGCUCGUAGGCGGCUCGGUAAGUCGGGUGUGAAAACUCUAGGCUCAACCUAGAGACGCCACCUGAUACUGCUGUGGCUAGAGUCCGGUAGGGGAGCAUGGAAUUCCUGGCGUAGCGGUGAAAUGCGCAGAUAUCAGGAGGAACACCAGUGGCGAAGGCGGUGCUCUGGGCCGGUACUGACGCUGAGGAGCGAAAGCGUGGGGAGCAAACAGG